AUUGAACGCUGGCGGCAGGCCUAACACAUGCAAGUCGAGCGGUACAUUUCUAGCUUGCUAGAAGAUGACGAGCGGCGGACGGGUGAGUAAUGCUUGGAAAUCUGCCUGGUAAGUGGGGGACAACAGGUUGGAAAACGACCGACUAAUACCGCAUAACCUCUUCGGAGCAAAGUGGGGGACCCUGGGCCUUCACGCUACCAGAUGAGUCCAAGUGGGAUUAGCUAGUUGGUGAGG
rnacentral:rRNA from 1 species